rnacentral:rRNA from 1 species
GAUGAACGCUGGCGGCGUGCCUAAUACAUGCAAGUCGAGCGAACAGACGAGGAGCUUGCUCCUCUGACGUUAGCGGCGGACGGGUGAGUAACACGUGGAUAACCUACCUAUAAGACUGGGAUAACUUCGGGAAACCGGAGCUAAUACCGGAUAACAUGUUGAACCGCAUGGUUCAACAGUGAAAGACGGUCUUGCUGUCACUUAUAGAUGGAUCCGCGCCGCAUUAGCUAGUUGGUAAGGUAACGGCUUACCAAGGCAACGAUGCGUAGCCGACCUGAGAGGGUGAUCGGCCACACUGGAACUGAGACACGGUCCAGACUCCUACGGGAGGCAGCAGUAGGGAAUCUGCCGCAAUGGGCGAAAGCCUGACGGAGCAACGCCGCGUGAGUGAAGAAGGUCUUCGGAUCGUAAAACUCUGUUAUUAGGGAAGAACGAAUGUGUAAGUAACUAUGCACGUCUUGACGGUACCUAAUCAGAAAGCCACGGCUAACUACGUG